rnacentral:rRNA from 1 species
CUAAUACAUGCAAGUCGAGCGCGGGAAGCAGACUGAAGCCUUCGGGCGGACGUCUGUGGAACGAGCGGCGGAUGGGUGAGUAACACGUGGGCAACCUGCCUGUAAGCUCGGGAUAACUAGCGGAAACGCUAGCUAAUACCGAAUAACGCUGCGCACCGCAUGGCGCGCAGAUGAAAGGCGGCGCAAGCUGCCACUUACAGAUGGGCCCGCGGCGCAUUAGCUAGUUGGUGGGGUAACGGCCUACCAAGGCGACGAUGCGUAGCCGACCUGAGAGGGUGACCGGCCACACUGGGACUGAGACACGGCCCAGACUCCUACGGGAGGCAGCAGUAGGGAAUAUUCCGCAAUGGGCGAAAGCCUGACGGAGCGACGCCGCGUGAGCGAUGAAGGUCUUCGGAUCGUAAAGCUCUGUUGUUAGGGAAGAACAAGUACCGGAGUAACUGCCGGUACCUUGACGGUACCUAACCAGAAAGCCCCGGCUAACUACGUGCCAGCAGCCGCGGUAAUACGUAGGGGGCGAGCGUUGUCCGGAAUUAUUGGGCGUAAAGGGCGCGUAGGCGGUCUCUUAAGUCUGAUGUGAAAGCCCCCGGCUUAACCGGGGAGGGUCAUUGGAAACUGGGAGACUUGAGUGCAGGAGAGGGAAGCGGAAUUCCAUGUGUAGCGGUGAAAUGCGUAGAGAUAUGGAGGAACACCAGUGGCGAAGGCGG